rnacentral:rRNA from 1 species
GGGCCCGCACAAGCGGUGGAGCAUGUGGUUUAAUUCGAUGAUACGCGAGGAACCUUACCAGGGCUUAAAUGUAGUGGGACAGGUCUAGAGAUAGACCCUUCUUCGGACUCAUUACAAGGUGCUGCAUGGUUGUCGUCAGCUCGUGCCGUGAGGUGUCAGGUUAAGUCCUAUAACGAGCGCAACCCCUAUCGUUAGUUGCCAGCGGGUAAUGCCGGGAACUCUAGCGAAACUGCCGGUGCAAACCGUGAGGAAGGUGGGGAUGACGUCAAAUCAUCACGGCCCUUACGUCCUGGGCUACACACGUGCUACAAUGGUCGGUACAGAGAGCAGCCACUACGCGAGUAGGAGCGAAUCUAUAAAACCGAUCUCAGUUCGGAUCGCAGUCUGCAACUCGACUGCGUGAAGCUGGAAUCGCUAGUAAUCG